CGGACGGGUGAGUAACGCGUGGAAAACCUGCCGUAUACUGGGGGAUAACACUUAGAAAUAGGUGCUAAUACCGCAUAAGCGCACAGCUUCGCAUGAAGCGGUGUGAAAAACUCUUGUGGUAUACGAUGGUUCCGCGUCUGAUUAGCUAGUUGGUGGGGUAAUGGCCUACCAAGGCAACGAUCAGUAGCCGGCCUGAGAGGGUGAACGGCCACAUUGGGACUGAGACACGGCCCAAACUCCUACGGGAGGCAGCAG
rnacentral:rRNA from 1 species